CCCUUAGAUGUUCUGGGCCGCACGCGCGCUACACUGUCGGAUUCAGCGAGUCUUAACCUUAACCGAAAGGUUUGGGUAAUCUUUUGAAAGUCCGACGUGAUGGGGAUUGAUCAUUGCAAUUAUUGAUCAUGAACGAGGAAUUCCUAGUAAGCGCGAGCCAUCAGCUCGCGUUGAUUACGUCCCUGCCCUUUGUACACACCGCCCGUCGCUACUACCGAUUGAAUGGUUUAGUGAGGACUCCUGAUUGGCGCCGCCGCCCCGGCAACGGAGCAGCGGACUGCCGAAAAGUUGUUCAAACUUGAUCAUUUAGAGGAAGUAAAAGUCGUAACA
rnacentral:rRNA from 1 species